GUGUCAGCCGCCGCGGUAAUACGGAGGGUGCGAGCGUUAAUCGGAAUUACUGGGCGUAAAGCGUACGCAGGCGGUUUGUUAAGCGAGAUGUGAAAGCCCCGGGCUCAACCUGGGAACUGCAUUUCGAACUGGCAAACUAGAGUGUGAUAGAGGGUGGUAGAAUUUCAGGUGUAGCGGUGAAAUGCGUAGAGAUCUGAAGGAAUACCGAUGGCGAAGGCAGCCACCUGGGUCAACACUGACGCUCAUGUACAAAGCGUGGGGAGCAAACAGG
rnacentral:rRNA from 1 species